UACGGAGCUGCAGUGGAGAAAGCCAAGUUCAGGGUUGCAAAUUUGCUGACUCUCUCGAAUUAGGAUUCCAGAUGGGGGCCUUGUUUCUGUAGCCCCACCAUCCCUCUAGACACUGCCUCCACCACCAGCACCACCACGAUCACCAUCGCAAACCCCACCACUGCUCGCCAGGACUCCCUGAGUUGAAAGUGAGCAGAAGGGAACUCUUGGAAAAGUUUCUGGCUGUGGCCCGCCAUCACUCCGCACAGUCGGAAUCCUCCCCUUAUCACCAUGGCCUGGCUUUUCCUAAAGGUUUUGUUGGUGGGGGUGAGUUUCCUGGGAUGUCUUUAUCCUCUUGUGGAUUUUUGCUUCAGUAGGGACACAAAAGGCCAGAGACCGAAUUUCGUCAUCAUUUUGGCAGAUGACGUGGGGUGGGGUGACCUGGGAGCUAACUGGGCAGAAACGAAGGACACUGACAACCUUGAUAAGAUGGCUGCAGAAGGAAUGAGGUUUGUGGAUUUCCACGCAGCCGCCUCCACCUGCUCGCCCUCCCGGGCUUCACUGCUCACCGGCCGGCUCGGCCUUCGCAAUGGAGUCACUCACAACUUUGCAGUCACCUCUGUGGGGGGCCUCCCGCUCAACGAGACCACCUUGGCCGAGGUGCUGCAGCAAGCUGGCUACAUCACCGGGAUGAUUGGCAAGUGGCAUCUUGGGCACCAUGGCUCUUAUCACCCCAACUUCCGUGGCUUUGAUUACUACUUUGGAAUCCCGUACAGCCAUGAUAUGGGCUGCACUGACACCCCCGGCUACAACCACCCUCCCUGUCCAGCGUGUCCACGGGGCGACAGGCCAUCAAGGAACCUUGAGCGGGACUGUUACUCUGACGUGGCCCUUCCUCUGUAUGAAAACCUCAACAUCGUGGAGCAGCCCGUGAACUUGAGCAGCCUGGCACAGAAGUAUGCCGAGAAAGCUACCCAGUUCAUCCAGCACGCAAGCACCAGCGGAAGACCCUUCCUGCUCUAUGUGGGCCUGGCCCACAUGCACGUGCCCUUAGCCAGGACCCAGCUCUCAGCAGAAACAUGGGGUCGAAGGCCAUACGCUGCAGGUCUCCGUGAGAUGGACAGCCUCGUGGGCCAGAUCAAGGACAAAGUUGACCGCACAGCGAAAAACAACACAUUCCUCUGGUUUACAGGAGAUAAUGGCCCGUGGGCUCAGAAGUGUGAGCUUGCAGGGAGCGUGGGGCCCUUCACUGGAUCGUGGCAAACUCAUCAAGACAGUCAUUUCGUGAUCAGCAGGAAGGCAUUCGCUUAUUCAACAGAUAUAUGGGGAAGUCCGGCCAAGCAGACCACCUGGGAAGGAGGGCACCGGGUCCCGGCUCUGGCUUACUGGCCCGGCAGAGUCCCCAGCAAUGUCACCAGCACCGCUCUGUUAAGUGUGCUGGACAUCUUCCCUACCGUGGUGGCCCUGGCCGGGGCCCAACUGCCCCGGGGCCGACACUUCGAUGGUUUGGAUGCCUCUGAGGUGCUCUUUGGCCGGGCGCAGAGUGGGCACAGGGAAGUGCUUCAAGGACUGCGGUCCUCUUGACGUUGUCAGGCCACCGGUGGAAGCCAGCUCCCUCGCGUGGAACUUCCGUUUUCAGAUGGGAGAAGGCUCGCUCUCUUUCUCAAGUCGCAGCUUUCCGCAGACUCAUGGGCGCCCCACCCUCGGGGCUGGACGCCCAGAAGGAAACAAUCAUGACUUACUGCUUGCCGGAAGCUGCCGAUGGCAUCUUCAAGAGUAAAAGGACAUGGUGCCGGCACCUGUGGGCCGAGCUCAGCCUCCCCGAGCACUGGGUUGUUAUUGAAGAUGCAAUAUUAUUGAAGAUGCUGGAGGGGUCAACAGAGGCAGCCGCUGGCCCUGAAUUUGGCCUUGGUCUUUUCUGGUCAGGCGUUAAAGACACUAGAGUAAAUCGUCUUGAGUUUGCUGAAGAGGGGCCGGGAGGUAAAACUGUGAGUGAUUAUAUUGAUCUGCACGCAUAUACCUGUGUGUACACACACAUACAUACAUGUACACACGUGCAUUUUAAAAUAAACACAACUUAAUUGUGUUCACGCUUAGAUAUGUCCUGGGCUUACUAGAUUGUAACGUGUGUUGGUUUAGAAAACCACUCCAGUUUCAAGAAGCUCAGAGUAACCCCUAGAUAGUCAUCUCAAAACCCUUUGCAAUAUGCAGAAUAGAUAAGCAAGAUUAUACUGUAGAGCACAGGGAAAUAGAUACAAGAUCUUGUGGUAGCUCACAGCAGGGGAAAAAAAUGUGACAAUGAAUAUAUGUAUGUUCAUGUAUAACUGAAAAAUUGUGCUCUACACUGGAAUUUGACGCAACAUUGUAAAAUGACUAUAACUCAAUUAAAAAAAAGUUAAAAAAAAAACCUUUGCAAAUGCAAAUCAGCAAUUGGGUUCUUCCCUGUUUUGCAAAUGAGUAACCGAAAGCUGAAAAGCUGAAGCAACCUGGGGGCCACAUACCCUCUGGCAACCUUGCCUGGCCCUCUGUUGAGGUUGACAAGCAAAUAGUGAGCUGUUGGUUUUCCUACUGGAUGGUCUUCUCACUACCCAUGGACAGCUUGGGCCAUGAUGAGUGUGAUGUUCAUAACCAACAGCCGCUGACGCCACGUGCCUCUUCUUGCCUCUGCUGAGCCUUCUGCUUCCAAUCUUGCCAGGUCUUCGUCUAGGCAGUGAGGCCAACCACAAGGAGGGAGACAGCAACCAGGCAGGGGAGGCUGCACAGCCUGGCACCAACUGUCCCACUGGCUCCCCGUUGCAGCGCCACCGCUGGUCAAGCCCGAUCUCUGCCCCAGGUGGCUGUGACCGAGCCCCAGAAUUCUUAGCCAAGGAAUUCUCAGGCUUCCUUAAUGGCCCUGCAUCUGUCUAGCCCAAACCAGUCUGGGGCUGGUUGAGUCAUAAAAUGCUUGAUACCUCCCUGGAGACCAUACAUUGAGGAAAGAGAAGCUGAGUCUUAGUCUCUGCAACGCUGAUCACUUCUCUUAGGGAGGCCCCUAGUGGCGAAAGACGCUGUCGGGAGUGGCUGGCAAAAGGCUGAUUCUGGAGAUCUAGAGCUGUGACCCCCGCCCCCCCAACCUGAUGGGGUGGGAGAUUCCUCCUUCUGGGAAGGCUGUUUAAGCACCAGCCUCCUGGGCCUGAUUGUAAGGAGAUGCUCCCUGCUUGAACAGACAGAACAAAAUAAAACGAAGCAAACAGGUAAGAAAGGCAACCAAGAAGAUGCUACGUGUUUGCAGAAAAUUAAGUUAUCUUUGAAAUUCGCACCGGGUGUCCUCUGGAGAGGAAAUCUCUUCAGCUGUGAUUCAUGUGUAGCUGUGCCAACCUCCUUCCUAUGUUGAUAUAAACAAGAACACCAUCAUCAGUCUGCUCAAAGGAGGAGAGGAAAAAAAAAAGGCAUAUACAGGUUCUCCAAAAUCCAUCCACGUUUCGGAGAGUGAGCCAUUUUACUUCCUCUUGGAUUUUGGGAGUAGUGCCUGGUAACGCCAAAUACACAUUCUGAACACAGCAGCCCAGUCGUAUGGAAUUUCUGUUACUGAAACGCAAGUCAUGUCAAUGAUCUGAACCAGCGGACCUUGACUCCCAUCUUCUGGAUGUCUGAGUACAUCAUAGAUCAGUUGACAAAAGAUUUUUCCAAGUCUCCCACUUCCUGCCCUCUCCACAAGGAAACAAAACAGCCUCCUGCGGUGAGAGGCUUGGCUUCCUGCAGGGUUGGAAGAAGUGAGGGUUUUGAGUUACGGCUUCUUUUCCUGUUUGGAAGGAGCCUGCUGUCAUCAGGCUGGCUGGGGAACUUGCAGGGGUUGUCACGAGAGCGGAAGCAGCAGGUGUGGGAGGAGCCCCACCCUCCUUGGCAUCCUUUCAGAGCCAGGAAACUUGGGGGCACAGCUGUUUACUGCUCCUACAGAUGUUUCUCAUUUUUUUUUUUUUUUAGCUCCAUGGAAACUUUGAAUCACGUAAGCGCCUUUCCAGCGAUAUAUAUCGGUCAUGAUUCAUACCAGGGCGGUCUCACGCUUCCAGCCCAAAUCCACUGACCUACCAAGGAUGCUGGUCAUUUAUUUUCUACCAGACCUUGCCCUUGGGAGCCCUGAACUAGGUGUUUCCAUUCCAUGGGGUGAUUCUUUCAUUUGGGACCUGGUGAGGAAGGAUUUGCUCAGUAGGAUGGAGUCAAAGCGGACCUGUGUCUGGAGGAAAAGUGGUACCCAGUUCUGGAGACAUGGCACUGAGGUGUCCUCUGAAGGAUGCCUUCUUGUGCCAUCCUUGCUCAAGUGAGAGUUAGAAAGUCAACUGGAUGCUGAAGACUUUUUUUCAAAGACAUCUGAGGAUCACCCCCUAUCUGUGUCAGACCCCCUGGGAACAUUAAAACAUGCAGGUUCCCAGGUCCCAGGUGGGGCGCAGGCAGGGUUCGGCUUCCUGGGCGGGUGACCUGUGCAGUCACAGAGGGCCCCCACCCCACUUAGGAGGACCCCGUGCUUGCUUUAAAGCACACGUGCUGUGGUCUUCUUGAAAUUCUCAAUUUUUGGACAAGGUUUCUCUCAUUCUCAUUUUGUACUGGACUCUGCCGCUUACACAGCUAGUACCUGGCUUAGGAGUCCAGCCAGUGCUGUCACGCACUCUGAUUAAUUUACUGGCGAAGAGCUAUUUCCCGCAGGUGUGGCUGGUGUGGACUGCAGGCCUGUGUUUGUCAGUGUUUGGGGUCGGGGUCAGGGGGUGGGUUUGAGGAGGGUGAUGGGGAGCAGGGACCGCGACAAAGAAAGUCAUCCUUUCUGGGGAGCGUCUAGCAUGGUUUUCUUAUCUGUAAGCACUG